rnacentral:rRNA from 1 species
AUUGAACGCUGGCGGCAGGCCUAACACAUGCAAGUCGAACGGCAGCGGGGGGAAGCUUGCUUCCCCGCCGGCGAGUGGCGGACGGGUGAGUAAUGCCUGGGGAGCUGCCCAAUCGAGGGGGAUACCAGUUGGAAACGACUGCUAAUACCGCAUACGCCCUGAGGGGGAAAGGUGGGGAUCUUCGGACCUACCGCGAUUGGAUGCGCCCAGGUGGGAUUAGCUAGUUGGUGAGGUAACGGCUCACCAAGGCGACGAUCUCUAGCUGGUCUGAGAGGAU